CGGUCCUAAGGUAGCGAAAUUCCUUGUCGGGUAAGUUCCGACCUGCACGAAUGGCAUAACGAUGGCCACACUGUCUCCUCCUGAGACUCAGUGAAGUUGAAGUGUUUGUGAUGAUGCAAUCUCCCCGCGGCUAGACGGAAAGACCCCAUGAACCUUUACUGCAGCUUUGCAUUGGACUUUGAACCGAUCUGUGUAGGAUAGGUGGGAGGCUGUGAAACCGGGACGCCAGUCUCGGCGGAGCCGUCCUUGAAAUACCACCCUGAUUUGUUUGAGGUUCUAACCUAGGCCAGUCAUCCUGGUCGGGGACCGUGCAUGGUGGGCAGUUUGACUGGGGCGGUCUCCUCCUAAAGGGUAACGGAGGAGUGCGAAGGUACGCUAGGUACGGUCGGAAAUCGUGCUGAUAGUGCAAUGGCAAAAGCGUGCUUGACUGCGAGACCCACAAGUCGAGCAGAUACGAAAGUAGGUCAUAGUGAUCCGGUGGCUCUGUAUGGAAGGGCCAUCGCUCAACGGAUAAAAGGUACUCUGGGGAUAACAGGCUGAUACCGCCCAAGAGUUCAUAUCGACGGCGGUGUUUGGCACCUCGAUGUCGGCUCAUCUCAUCCUGGGGCUGUAGCCGGUCCCAAGGGUAUGGCUGUUCGCCAUUUAAAGAGGUACGUGAGCUGGGUUUAAAACGUCGUGAGACAGUUUUGUCCCUAUCUGCCGUGGGCGUUGGAAGAUUGACGGGGGCUGCUCCUAGUACGAGAGGACCGGAGUGGACUGACCUCUGGUGUACCGGUUGUCACGCCAGUGGCAUCGCCGGGUAGCUAUGUCGGGAAGAGAUAACCGCUGAAAGCAUCUAAGCGGGAAACUUGCCUGAAGAUAAGUCUUCCUGGAGGCUUGACCUCCCUGAAGAGUCGUUCGAGACCAGGACGUUGAUAGGUCGGGUGUGUAAGCGCUGUGAGGCGUUGAGCUAACCGAUACUAAUUGCUCGUGCAGCUUGAUCCU
rnacentral:rRNA from 1 species